GACGAACGCUGGCGGCGUGCUUAACACAUGCAAGUCGAACGGAAAGGCCCUGCUUUUGUGGGGUGCUCGAGUGGCGAACGGGUGAGUAACACGUGAGUAACCUGCCCUUGACUUUGGGAUAACUUCAGGAAACUGGGGCUAAUACCGGAUAGGAGCUCCUGCUGCAUGGUGGGGGUUGGAAAGUUUCGGCGGCUGGGGAUGGACUCGCGGCUUAUCAGCUUGUUGGUGGGGUAGUGGCUUACCAAGGCUUUGACGGGUAGCCGGCCUGAGAGGGUGACCGGCCACAUUGGGACUGGGAUGCGGCCCAGACUCCUACGGGAGGCAGCAGUGGGGAAUAUUGCACAAUGGGCGGAAGCCUGAUGCAGCAACGCCGCGUGCGGGAUGACGGCCUUCGGGUUGUAAACCGCUUUCGCCGGUGACGAAGCGUGAGUGACGGUAAUGGGUAAAGAAGCACCGGCUAACUACGUG
rnacentral:rRNA from 1 species